UUAAAGGACCACUCUAGGCACCCAGACCACUUCAGCUUAAUGAAGUGGUCUGGGUGCCAGGUCCUUCUAGGGUUAACCCAUUUUUUCACAAUUAUAGCAGUUUCAGAGAAACUGCUAUAAUUAUGAAUGGGUUAAGCCUUCCCCCAAAGCCUCUAGUGGCUGUCUCAUUGACAGCCACUAGAGGCGCUGCGCUUUCUCACUGUGAUUUUCAGUGAGAGCACGCCAGCGUCCAUAGGAAAGCAUUGUAAAUGCUUUCCUAUGAGACCGGCUGAAUGCGCGCGCAGCUCUUGCCGCGCGUGCGCAUUCAGCCGGCGGGGCGGAUCGGAGGCGGAGAGGAGGAGGAGAGCUCUCCGCCCAGCGCUGGAAAAAGGUAAGUUUUUACCCCUUUCCCCCUUCCAGAGCCGGGCGGGAGGGG